CCACCUCCAUAAGUUGGUGGUGAGUUGUAGUACCCACCACCUCCUGAGGGAGGAUUUGAUGGUGUUGAAGGGGUUGAUGGUGUCGUCGGGACUGAGGGCGUUGGAGUAGAGGGUUCUUGUGGUGGAGUUCCACAAUUGCUACCAUCAGGUGGCGAUGGGGUUGGAUUGUAACUUCCACCACCCUCAGGUGGCGAUGGGGUUGGAUCAUAGCUUCCACCACCUGGGGGAGUUGAUGGGGUUGGAUUGUAAUAUCCACCACCUGAGGGUGGUGAUGGGUUUGGGUCAUAACUUCCACCACCAGGGGGAGUUGAUGGAGUUGGAUUGUAACUUCCACCAUCAGGGGGAGUUGAUGGGGUUGGAUUGUAACUUCCACCAUCAGGGGGAGUUGAUGGGGUUGGAUUGUAACUUCCACUUCCACCACCGUCUGAGGGUGGUGAUGGGGUUGGGUCAUAGCUUCCACCACCUGGAGGAGUUGAUGGAGUUGGAUUGUAACUUCCAUCACCACCUGGGGGAGUUGAUGGGGUUGGAUUGUAACUUCCACUUCCACCACCUGAGGGUGGUGAUGGAGUUGGAUCAUAGCUUCCACCACCUGGGGGAGUGCAUGGGGUUGGAGUGGAACUUCCUCCACCUCCAUGCGAUGGGGAUCCAUGAUGUGAUGGGGAUCCAUGAUGUGAUGGAGUUCCAUGAUGAG
rnacentral:lncRNA from 1 species